rnacentral:rRNA from 1 species
UGGUGACUAUAGCAAGGAGGUCACACCUGUUCCCAUGUCGAACACAGAAGUUAAGCUCCUUAGCGUCGAUGGUAGUCG